UAUACUAAGUCAGCUUAUUGUGCAUCUUCAUCUUCACGGAAGGCCUUGGCAUGUCCACUGAAACUUUAGACAUUAUUCCCACAGCCUUCUUUCAAUCGUUGAUGCUUAGGGUUUUUUCUACUAUUCUCAUAAGUUUUGUCUCAAAAAUUUCAGUGGUAUCUUUGAUUUUUACUUUUUGAAUUUAGGGAUGAAGCAUAGGAAAUUCAGAUUCAAAAAAUCUACUCAAUUUCUCCAUUUCUCAUAGGGAGGGCAAAAAGAGGCAAGAGAGGCUCACUACAACUCUCAAGAGUUUGUGUCUCAACCUCUUCCGAAAUUUGUGUCUCAACCUCUUCAAGCUCCAUUUAUGUGAAACUGUGAUGGUAAGAGGCUCCCGGUGACCAAAGCGAUGGAACUCUUGGAGUAAGGGUACACCUUUGAGAUUAUUGUUCUUUUAGCAAUAUCUCAAAAUCUUUACAGCUGCUCAACAAUACAAUACAUUAUAACUGGUGAUGUUCAGGCUCACGAAAAGAGAGCAAUUUGAUUGCUACACCCUUUACUGGUCACGAUAUAUGAUUUAUUUAUCACAUUACGACGAAUUGAAUUUAUCAACUAGGGUGGCCACCUCAAUGAGUAUUUUCACAAAAAAAAGGGAAAUGAGAUGAGAAAUUCAAGAACAAUAGGCAUCUCCAUGUUUCCAUUUGAGAUUGAUUGCAUCAUCUCAAUUUAGUUUCAUGUUUCUUUGUUAGAGAAGAAAUUAUUACUAGAUCAAAAUCUGAUUAAGAUGGGCAAAAGGUGUUUGACUUUGUACUUCUGCUACAAUUGUGUGUGCUGCUUUCAUUUAUCAGUUUCUACAUUUUGUUUAAGAGAUUGUAAUUUUGUUUUGGAUUUGUGGAAUGCCUAUUAUUACCUAUGAAGGCAUUAUAACUCAAGUACUUAUUCAACGUACUUUUACAUGUGUAGUAAUUGUGGCUUUAUGCAUUCCUUUCAACUUUACCAUGUGUUACAAAGCAUCCAUCAUGUUAAAAUGUAAAAUGUUGGGCCCGUGCUGAGUUAUAUUAUAUAAGCCAUUAAGAAUAGGACAAACACGGCAAUAUGACAUUGUACAAAAAGCUAUCUGAAUUGUACCUAAAACUUGGGUUUUUUUUAAUUAGAUUAGAUAUAAUAGUAUUUGCCCUUCUACAAUGACCACUUGUCUACUCCAAAAUGUCCUUAAACAUGUGUCGAUCUAACAAUUUUUGGAGGGGUAUAUUUGUCACUUUAACCACAUAAGCUCCAUCUUCUCUAAAAAAAACCACAGCCGUUGUUCUCUUCUCCAUCUUCAUUUAUUCAUCGGCAAAUGUCAUGUGAAGUAUUCAUGUAACAAGUUAUGCAACUAGCAGACGAAAGAAGCUAAGCUACAGGCUGAGUUGGAUGCACUUAUGUACAAAAAAAGUCUGUCUAGUUCGUGUGCGCGGUCCUGGUGGACGUUAUGAUAUUGGCGUAGGUGGAGAAACUGAAGUAGUUAGUGCCAGAGGGAGAGGAAGUGGGGGACAUGGUUUCAUUAGUGGUGCUGGAGAGACAGAAUUGCAGCUUCAGUGGCAAAGAUUGAAAUUUUCCACGUGGAGGCACAAAUGAUAACUUCAAAUGACCUGCAAAAGUUUUGUGUGCUUGAGUGUUCAGGAUGUAAGCAGAAAAAGCUUAUAAAAGACAAAAAGGAGUUUGAAUGCACAGCGUACCAUCAACAGGCAACAUUAGUGCCUCGAUAAUAUAUUUUUCCUGUAUAGAUUUCAUUACAACAGAAUAUAUCGCUAUCAUAUGGCUGAAGGCACAUUCACAUUACACUAAACAAUGUCGGUUCUAAACUAUAUAACUUUGUAUUACUUGCGGUUAAUAUGUUUUGAAUACUUGAUUGACUUGAUAGUAUUACUUUCGUUUA